UAAACUUGCACGUGCAGGUAUCUUUUUCACACAAUGACUUCUUUUCCUCCGGGUAGAUACACAAGAGUAUGGGAUUGCUGGAUCAAAUGAUAGAUCUACUUUUAGUUCUUUAAGGAAUCUCCACACUGUUUUCCAUAGUUGUUGUAUUAUGUUGGUGCAAAAGUAAUUGCAGCUUUUGCCAUUAAAAGUAAUGAGUAAUGAGCCUACCCUUUAAUCUGCCAUGGAGAAUGAUGAUCACAAUAAGAGACUUAAUAUUUAUUCUGUGCUUCCCAGGUGUCAGGCAUUAUAUGCUGUUCUAUGUCUUAUCUCAGCCAUUGAGAAGUCCUAUCAGGCAGGGCUGAUUGUCCCCACUUACAAAAGGGUGAGAUCUAGCUCCGAGAGGAUUCAUGAUAUGCCACAGGACUGACAGCCAGGAGUAACUUUCAGGACUGCUCUGAACAGGCAACCCUAGGGAGAACUGCAUGAGCCCACAAUCUGGGAUCAAUGAGCAGAUAAGAGAGAUGAGAGAGGACAAAGCUGCUCCUCUGCUCCUUUUUCCCCCCAACUUUCUCCUUUAAGAUCCAUCUUUAGGGGCAGCAGGGAGAACAAAUGGGUGCAAUGGGAAGUGGGGUCCCGGAGCUCAGAGGCAAUAAGAGCAGCUGACGUGCAUGGGGCUGAGGUUCCAGGUAGAGCUGGAUUUUACUCCAAAGUGUGCAGAACCCAAUUUCAACUAUCUUUGAAGAAUCACAAAGAAAGUGAAAGGGCAAAGCCACGAGUCCUGGAAACCUCAAAUAGUCAUACUUGAUGGUAUUUUCUGGUAAACCUGUGGAAUGGACUAUUGUGCUACAGACUUAUAAGCCCUUUAGAAAAAGCAGUCAUGAUUUUCAGGAGUCAGCAUGGCUUCACUAACAGCGAGUCACACCUCAUUUGCUUUCUGACAUUUGACUGGACUGGCAGCUUGGAAGAUGACAUAGAUGUGGGGUAGCUGGGUUCCAUCAAAGCAUGUGACAGAGUUCUGUUUAAUAUGUUCACGGAAGCACAGCAGGAUGACAUGAAUGGACUGAUAGCAAAAUCGGAUGCAACGUAAAGCAGUGAAUAACUAUUUUUUUAAAAAGUGGUGAUUAAUGUACUGAUAUCAGCCUGAAAGGAAGUCAUUAGCAGUAAGCCAAAAGGUUCUGAUACGAUUAAAUCCAGUCAAAUGCUUUUAUCAUUCACUUACUUGAAGGCAUGGAAAACAUGCUUCUCAAAUAAGUGGGUAAUCUAAUGAUUGUGGGAAUGUCUACUACAGCAAAUGACUGUAUCAAGAUUUAAAUAAUCUAGGGAUGCCAGUAUGAAGCACAAAAGAAGGUGUUGGAAAUUUCUUUCUGAGAAAUCCUUUGAAACAAGAUAGAUCCCUCAUCAAGCCAGAGCUGAAACUAACUCCAAAAUAAGAAGCAAAACAAACAAAUGAACUUCAUCUUUAAUUUUUAAAAAAGAAAAAUAAAAAUGAAGGAAAGAAAGAAUAAAACAGAAGCCUAGCCUCUCAAAAGCAGUGACAAUCAAACAUGGAAACCCUCGAGGGUGGACACCUAUGGUCCCAGACCUCAGAAAAGGCCAUCAAAGUCCACUUGUUCAAGGUAGAUGGCAGCCAUGCAGGUUAGAUCUAAACUCGGGUCACAGGAUGGGGAUGAGUUCUGCCCGGCCCUGAGAGCGUCCCCAGAGUUCGUCUGGCUCUGAGAGAAAGUUGAGGAAAAGUGGCUGAGAGAGCACCGUGCCAAAGUGUCUUCAGAAGGUUGUCCUUGGUGACAACAUGAGGCAGGUGGUGAGGCAAGGAGAAGUUCCACUGGGAGUCCCCCGAAUGUUGAUCCUGCUUGGAUGAAAGGAAAUGAGAGUCCAGAAGCUCAUCUGCACUCCAUAGUCCUGAGUCAUUCUGAGAAUUCCUAACAUCCUGAAGCACACGCUGCCCCAGGUCCCACAUGGACUUCCUACAGAUAGUCAAUAUGUGGAGAGCUUGUCUUGUUCAAACAUGAGAAAUAUUCGAGAAAUAAUUUAAAAGGAAUAAGCAAAAUAUACAAAGAUUGUACAAUUCUACAAAUGGGAAGAAAGAACAGAGAAAUUAAUUUCUAAUGCAGACAAAAACCUGCAUUAGAAAAACGCUACCACAAAGAGAGAUUAUGAUCCAACCUAUCUUCACAAAUUACCAACAAAAUGAAACCAUCAUCUGUAUAAACAAAACACGCAGCAGAAACACAUUAGUUCAUGGGUGAUAUAUUGGGACCUCAGAAGAAUGUGCUAUGUGAGCUGGUGUAGCUCAGGAAAAAAUGUGAAAAAUAUAAAUGCACAGGAAAAAAUGAUAGCUAAAUGGGAAGCAGCACUAAGGAGAAAUACUAUGAAAAUACAGCUCUGCACAUAAUGGACUGUACUGAGAAAAACACUCAAAAUAUAAAGAAAAUGAGCAAAGAGUUAAUGGGAUUACAGUGAAAAACAGUAGUUAUGGAACAAGGCAAGUAAAAUCUAGAAAGUGUGAUGGAUUUACCUAAGUAGGGUGUAUUAGUCAGGGUUCUCUAGAAGGACAGAAC
rnacentral:lncRNA from 1 species